rnacentral:rRNA from 1 species
AAAAAAGUUUGCGACCUCGAUGUUGGAUUAAAAAUUAUUCUAGGUGUAGUAGUUUAGAAUUUUGGUCUGUUCGACCAUUAAAUUUUUACAUGAUCUGAGUUCAGACCGGUGUAAGCCAGGUCGGUUUCUAUCUUUAUUUAGUUAAUAUAUUUUAGUACGAAAGGACCAAAUAUAAAUUAUAGUUAUAAUUAAAAUUUUGAAUUAUA